AUUGAACGCUGGCGGCAGGCCUAACACAUGCAAGUCGAACGGUAACAGGAAGACGCUUGCUUCUUUGCUGACGAGUGGCGGACGGGUGAGUAAUGUCUGGGAAACUGCCUGAUGGAGGGGGAUAACUACUGGAAACGGUAGCUAAUACCGCAUAACGUCGCAAGACCAAAAAGGGGGACCUUCGGGCCUCUUGCCAACGGAUGUGCCCAGAUGGGAUUAGCUAGUAGGUGGGGUAACGGCUCACCUAGGCGACGAUCCCUAGCUGGUCUGAGAGGAUGACCAGCCACACUGGAACUGAGACACGGUCCAGACUCCUACGGGAGGCAGCAGUGGGGAAUAUUGCACAAUGGGCGCAAGCCUGAUGCAGCCAUGCCGCGUGUAUGAAGAAGGCCUUCGGGUUGUAAAGUACUUUCAGCGGGGAGGAAGGGAGUAAAGUUAAUACCUUUGCUCAUUGACGUUACCCGCAGAAGAAGCACCGGCUAACUCCGUG
rnacentral:rRNA from 1 species